UCCAGCAUGGGAGAAAGACGGAAGCCGGAAGACUCACUUCAGAGACAAAGGAUUUCAUUGAGUUUGCCAUACUCCCCACUCAGUGCUUUCUUAGGAGCCUGGAGUCUUUUGGAUGAGAAUUUUCCUAAGAACAACAGCAGAGAGCAAAAAUCAGAAGCAAACCACCACCACCACCACCACGACCACCACCACCACCACCACCACCAGGGGAAACUGACCAUCAGGCCUCCAAGAGAGUAUCAAUGAAAUGAAACUCACCAGAUGAGCUGCCAGAUUCCUCACUCAUCAUGACUACCUAACUGACCACCUGCUGCCUGUUGACUAACUCCUCUUCCUUACCCCUCCCUAAUUCCUGUUUCCCCACACUUAGUUAUGUUCCAUCCCUGCUAUAUGACUCCCCAGUUGUAGUUGGUCUGAGAGAUGGAUUUGAGACUGAGCUCCUGUCUCCUCAGCUGCCGCACCUGAUUAAAGCCUUUUU